AUUGAACGCUGGCGGCAGGCCUAACACAUGCAAGUCGAGCGAGCGCCGGACGGGUGUGUAAUGUAUGGGGACUGCCCGAUAGAGCGGGAUAACUACUGGAGACGGUAUCUAAUACCCCCCACGAUCGGAUAACCCAUAUGGGAUUAGCUAGUAGGUGGGGUAAUGGUUCACCUAGGCGACGCUCCCUAGCUGGUCUGGGAGGAUGAUCAGCCACACUGGGACUGAGACACGGCCCAGACUCCUACGGAGGCAGCAGUGGGGAAUAUUGCACAAUGGGCGCAAGCCUGAUGCAGCCAUGCCGCGUGUAUGAAGAAGGCCCUAGGGUUGUAAAGUACUUUCAGUCGGGAGGCGUUACCGACAGAAGAAGCACCGGCUAACUCCGUGCCAGCAGCCGCGGUAAUAC
rnacentral:rRNA from 1 species